rnacentral:rRNA from 1 species
CAGCAGCCACGGUAAUACGUAGGUGGCAAGCGUUGUCCGGAAUUAUUGGGCGUAAAGGGCUCGCAGGCGGUUUCUUAAGUCUGAUGUGAAAGCCCCCGGCUCAACCGGGGAGGGUCAUUGGAAACUGGGAAACUUGAGUGCAGAAGAGGAGAGUGGAAUUCCACGUGUGGCGGUGAAAUGCGUAGGGAUGUGGAGGAACACCAGUGGCGAAGGCGACUCUCUGGUCUGUAACUGACGCUGAGGAGCGAAAGCGUGGGGAGCGAACAGGAUUAGAUACCCCAGUAGUCCCUGUCUCUUAUAC